AGGCGCGCGCGGGAGAAACUGGGAGUGUGCGCUCCCGGCGCGGAGUUAAGGCUAGGCCAGAGUUCGGACCCUAGAGCCUAGAGGUUGCCACUGGAGGAAAUGACCCGUCACCGUCUACUAAGAAGAAAAUGAUGGGCGCCCUGGAGAGAGAUGAAUUUUAACCGUAGCAAAUAACAUUUAUAAAACAGUCUUCAUUUUCCGUAAGGCAUUUAAGACAUCCACUCUGGACAAGAAGAAAUGGGUCUGGACUUAUUAAGAAACUGAGCAAAGUAUGUGAAACAACUGUUUUCAAGAAUAAGCAGUUAGGGACCUUUGUACCUGAGAGAAAAGAAACAAACAAGAUGGGCCUUGUAUCACCCUGGCCACCUGCUGGGAGGUAGUUUCCAGUUCAGAAGUACAAGGAGAACUCAGAGCCUAGGGUCUUGGGUAAAGACAGGGCUGACUGAGUGGAGAAGGCAGGGAUUGAAUUUGGGAAUUUGAAGAGAGCAAGUUGGUUGGGAUUUAAGAGGCAGAGUUCAUGGAGAAAGCUUCAGAAAUCUGCAUAGGGGCACCCUUGCAUCUUUAGCUGAAUACAAAUCAGUGAAUAUUUCAUGUGAAACUCCUCAAGGCCAGGAAAGAACAAUUAUUGGGGAGCAGUAAGCCAAACAAUUCUCAGAGCUCACACAGGACUUGGGAAUCAUUUGAAUUCUCUGGAGCAGAAGUGGAGAGACUUCGAAUUCAUGGAAUGUGCUAUAGAGACCCCCAACGAGUCAUGCCUUAGUAGUGAGGUAAACUUAGCUCCAGACUGGCCUCUAAAGGAAAACCAUUGUAGCUCCUUCAACAGCUUAAAGACAAGCUCUGGUAGAAGCAAACUGCUCAGAAUUAGCAUUGAACAAAACGAAUAAAACUCUUGGCCCCACUGAGCGAGUUUAUAUUCAAGAAGUGGAAUAAAGACAACAAACAGAAGAAAUAAGUACAACGUUUACAGUAUGGAGGGAAAAUAUGCAGGGAGAAGCCCAAUGAUGCUAGUGCCUUCUGCCUAAGAAAAUAAGUGCCCUUGUUGGACAGCUCAAGAACAAAGCCUCCGUAAGUGUUUCAGGUGUGGCACAUGCCUAAAACAGAGAUUCUUGAAUCAGUUAUUCUUUUAAUAACCCCAGUGAAAAACAAACCUACCUUUCAUUUAGCAUUAAUGUCCCUGGAUUAAUCCACUGUCCACUAUAGAUCUGUGUAUUGAAAUACCAGGUAUUGUAAAUUUUUCUAGGCUGAACUAAACAUGUGUAGAGUAGAAUGUCAUUUGUUUCUAGGUCAUUCACCCAUGCUGCCUGGUGCCAAUGUACAUUUAGUUCUAUAUGUUUAUGUUUGUAUCUGAGUACCCUGCUCUGUUCCAUUGUCCCUGUUGUCCUUGCCUCACUGUUUUUAUUGCUUAGCUCUGCAAUGUGUGUGUGUG